CCCCAUCGUCCUUCUUUCCUCACUUUUUCCCCUCUCUCAAUCAAAAAGGAAUUAAAUAACAGAAAUCAAAUCACGAUUCUUGAAGAUCGACGAUCAGACGCGUGAUUCGUGGAGACGUUCCAGACUCGUGAUUUUCUUCUUUCCACGACUCUGGCAAGCGCUUCCGUUCCAUUGUUCUUCGAGCGGCAUCAGAUCCGCGGCCCUUCAGAAGAUUGACGCGUAAUCUUCUCACCGCGCGAAACUUCUCUUCUGCGCGAUUUCUAAUCAGAUUCCAGACAUUGGCAAUUCCAGAUUUUGACUUCUGUGCUCGACUAUAGGAGAAUUUAUCAUCAAAGUUCGAGCACCGAUCGAUGAUCUAGCAGCGUCAGGUGAUCAAUUGUCUGAAAGAGACAAGAUUGAUUUUGUGGUUGAUGGUCGGGCUUUCGCCACUUUUUGUCAUAUAUUCACUUACAACCAAAUAUGGUAUUUGAUGAAUUUAUUUAUCUUGCUAUUAGGGUAAUUAUCAGGUGCAACAUUUCCAAAAAUGAUAUAUGCGACAUUAUUCAUCUUGGCCGUCUAUCUUACAUUCAAUGGUUGUCAAUCCGUUAGGCGUUUACUACUCGACCCUGUACGUCACUUGGAACAGAUCUCGAGCAAAGUUUACUUAACCUUGGGCACAUCCGUUUAUUUAUUGGACAAUCAUAAGUUAC
rnacentral:lncRNA from 1 species